UACGUAGGGGGCAAGCGUUGUCCGGAAUCAUUGGGCGUAAAGAGCGCGUAGGCGGCCCUGUAAGUCCGCUGUGAAAGUCAAGGGCUCAACCCUUGAAUGCCGGUGGAUACUGCAGGGCUAGAGUCCGGAAGAGGCGAGUGGAAUUCCUGGUGUAGCGGUGAAAUGCGCAGAUAUCAGGAAGAACACCCGUGGCGAAGGCGGUUCUCCUGGGACGGUACUGACGCUGAGACGCGAAAGCGUGGGGAGCGAACAGG
rnacentral:rRNA from 1 species